rnacentral:rRNA from 1 species
GGGAAACCGAGUCUUAAUUGGGCGUUAAGUUGCAGGGUAUAGACCCGAAACCCGGUGAUCUAGCCAUGGGCAGGUUGAAGGUUGGGUAACACUAACUGGAGGACCGAACCGACUAAUGUUGAAAAAUUAGCGGAUGACCUGUGGCUGGGGGUGAAAGGCCAAUCAAACCGGGAGAUAGCUGGUUCUCCCCGAAAGCUAUUUAGGUAGCGCCUCGUGAAUUCAUCUCCGGGGGUAGAGCACUGUUUCGGCUAGGGGGCCAUCCCGGCUUACCAACCCGAUGCAAACUGCGAAUACCGGAGAAUGUUAUCACGGGAGACACACGGCGGGUGCUAACGUCCGUCGUGAAGAGGGAAACAACCCAGACCGCCAGCUAAGGUCCCAAAGUCAUGGUUAAGUGGGAAACGAUGUGGGAAGGCCCAGACAGCCAGGAUGUUGGCUUAGAAGCAGCCAUCAUUUAAAGAAAGCGUAAUAGCUCACUGGUCGAGUCGGCCUGCGCGGAAGAUGUAACGGGGCUAAACCAUGCACCGAAGCUGCGGCAGCGACACUGUGUGUUGUUGGGUA